rnacentral:lncRNA from 1 species
ACAAUAGUUCUCACCCCCAUGUUGUUUUUGGGGGUACAGGUUCAUACGUGAGCGGCGCGGCGGCGCGAGGAAAGGGCGUAGCUCCGUAGAUAGCGCCCUACCACCGAGACCAGAAAUAGCAUUACCCUGAGUCGGCUUAGCUAGAGGUUGUAGAAAAGGUGUAAAACAAUAUUGUAAUAAUCUUGUGAUCGAUGAUUGUAUUUGGAAAGAAAUGUAAUCGAAAAUUGUAAAUGUAUAACUUGAGAUGAAUGCUUGUAAUAGCUUAGUUAUUUUAUGUUUUUGAUACUUUCUUAUGCAAUCUAUGCUUGAUUUCUGUUCCUAGUUGGAACAUCGUGAAUUGUAUUGAUUGCGACGCCUAUGACGUACAGGGGAGACUCUGUCCGUUCGGCGGUUUGUCGGCGUGCCCGAAUCCGACCAAAUAGGCGGGCUCAGGGCGUGACAUCGC